AGGACAUUAGAAGGAGACAUACAUAGGAGUUUCUAUAACUGCGGGUUCAAAUCAGAAUUUCUCUUGGGCUCAUACUUCCCUACUCUAGUAAUGGUGCAUCCUAUUUGCAAGAUGAUGCUAUACUGAUUAACGAAACCAGAGCAAGAGACAACCAAAAGUUGGACGUGUGAGGAAGCACUCUAGAGAUAGAAGCUUGGGAUAAAGUGGAAGUAAGAUGGAAUGUACUCUGCAUUUAGCUGUCACAGG
rnacentral:lncRNA from 1 species